GGAGGCAUGGCUCAAGCAGUAGAGCACCUGCCUAGUAAGUACAAGGCCCUGAGUUCAAACCUCAGUACUGCCA
rnacentral:tRNA from 1 species